UCUUGCUUUAUUUACCUUGUAUUCUAAAACACGCAAUUGUAACUUAUAAAUUGGUAAACAAUUAUUAAAAAUAUCCUAAGGGGAGAAUUUUAUUGGUAAACAUCUACUUAAAUGUUGUUUACGAAACUGAUUGUCAUAAUUUUAUUUUUUUCUUAUACACUAUAUAUUAUUGUUGAUUUCGAUCUUUUUAAGAAAAUCUUGUUAGUACAUAUUCUGUUUUUUGUAGAUUAUCAUUAAGAUAAAAAAAACAAUAUGUUACUUACUCAAGACCUUACUCCCACAUCGUGUACGGAGAACACAAAUACAGAACAUGUGGGCGAACAACAUAACAAUACACACCACGAAAAAGAACGCUUCAUAAAACAAUUCCAUUUGGUAUGAUAUAACCGAACACCUUUCUUAAUGUUUAAAACCACCGAUUGUUUAUGAUAUUUCGAUUUUUAAUUGAAAACUGAACUCGACUAAACACCUUUGUUAACGUCAACGAAAUGACCGUGGUUUCUCGAGAAUUGUACGUUUUAUCAAGCAAUUAAGAAUGUUCUACGUAAUUGUUCUAACCAAAAAUAAAGUUAUAAAUCUCG